GAAGUAUCAGAGAGAGGGCCAGAGGCAGGGAUCAGGAGGCAGAGGAGACUCCAGCUGGACCACAUGCUAUGCUUUGCAAAACCAAGACCACCGAAGUCUGGCUGAUGCAGGAGUAAGGAACCAAGAUGUCUGUGGACUCUUUCCUGAAGACUCACAACCGAGUCGUGCAGUUAAGAAGUCUGAGCGCCACCGUGUGUUCUAUUUUCCUGGAGGUUCUUUUUGAAGAAUCAACCAGAGGGAGUGCAGCUGUCGGUGCAGGAGCACACAGAGGUGGAUUACAAAACUCGCUUCAAGGGCCGUCCUGAACUCGAGGGUCUCAAGGCGAAGAUCAGCCACUCGGACCCCAGACUCACCUUCUUCAUUUUCACUUUCCUGACUCCUAAACUGUUCGUCACUCACAUGUUAGAUCUUUAAUUGUUUGUAUUUAUUCACUGCUGUUUAAGGUGAUCAUUUGCAUACAAAAAGAACUGUACACAUUCAUGUUUGACUUUCUUUUGUGACAAUUUGAAGACAAUAAAACCAAGCCUAUUUUUUACAAUGCAAAA